GACGAACGCUGGCGGCGUGCUUAACACAUGCAAGUCGAACGCUGAAGCUCAGCUUUUGUUGGGUGGAUGAGUGGCGAACGGGUGAGUAACACGUGAGUAACCUGCCCCAUUCUUUGGGAUAACGCCCGGAAACGGGCGCUAAUACUGGAUAUUCACUGGUCUUCGCAUGGGGGUUGGUGGAAAGGGUUUUUCUGGUGGGGGAUGGGCUCGCGGCCUAUCGGCUUGUUGGUGGGGUGAUGGGCUAACAAGGCGUUGACGGGUAGCCGGGCUGAGUGGGUGCCCGGUCACAUUGGGACGGAGAUACGGCCCAGACUCCGACGGGAGGCAGCAUUGGGGAAUAUUGCACAAUGGGCGCAAGCGUGAUGCAGCGACGCCGCGUGAGGGAUGGAGGCCGUCGGGUUGUGAACCUCUUUCGCUCAUGGUCAAGCCGAAACAAUGGUUGUGGUGAGGGUAGUGGGUAAAGAAGCGCCGGCUAACUACGUG
rnacentral:rRNA from 1 species